UACGUAAGUGGCGAGCGUUAUCCGGAAUUACUGGGCGUAAAGCGUUCGUAGGCGGUGCAGAAAGUUGGGUUUGAAAGCCCGGGGCUCAACUCCGGAUCCGGAUCCAAAACUUCUGCACUUGAACAUAUCAGGGGGCAGCGGAAUUCCCGGUGUAGCGGUAAUAUGCGUAGAUAUCGGGAGGAACACCAGUGGCGAAGGCGGCUGCCUGGGGUAUUGUUGACGCUGAGGAACGAAGGCUAGGGUAGCGAACGGG
rnacentral:rRNA from 1 species